GUCCACGCCCUAAACGAUGUCAACUAGUUGUUCGGAGAGGUAACUUUCUGAGUAACGCAGCUAACGCGUGAAGUUGACCGCCUGGGGAGUACGGCCGCAAGGUUAAAACUCAAAGGAAUUGACGGGGACCCGCACAAGCGGUGGAUGAUGUGGAUUAAUUCGAUGCAACGCGAAAAACCUUACCUACCCUUGACAUGCCUGGAACCCUUGAGAGAUCAGGGGGUGCCUUCGGGAGCCAGGACACAGGUGCUGCAUGGCUGUCGU
rnacentral:rRNA from 1 species